AUGAUUUUCUCCCAAGAUUGGAACUGAAAGCGGCUUACAGUCUGAGUUAGUAAUUAAUUAAUUAAUCCAGUGCAAUUAAAAACUUACAAAAUUGACCACUGAAAUGGUAUUAAAUGGGUAAAAUGGCGUUAUGCAUUAAAGCGGUAUUACUAUUAAACACAUGCUAAGCAAGAGGCACUACUGCUCCCCAGAUAUCUUCCUUUUGCAGAGAUGGACUGUGGGCUUUGCCUGCAUCCCUUUGAAACACUGAAGAGGUGGAGAGAGUGGGGCCAGACUCACUGCGAAGAGAAAGGAGUGAUCACAGGGUUUUCUUAGGCAAAGAAUACUCAGAGGUGGUUUUGCCAGUUCCUUCCUCUGAAAUAGAGCCUGGAGCACCCAAGAUACUAAAAGCACACCAGAACAAGAAUGAAGUACAGGAACGUUUUGAAAACUCAAGGAGCAACUGGUUUUGCCUUUCGAAAGUACGGUGCUAUUGAGCAGAUGGAGAUACCUUUGGAACUGGAUGCCAGGAAGACCUCCCUUUCAUCUGUCCUUGUGUUGUUUAUCAGAUGAUGAAUCCCAUUCUGUGCUGGAGCUACUGGAGUAUUCAGGUUGGUUGGAUAAAUCACAUAGGAUUCCGGGAACCAUGUGCAA